UUUUUUUUGAUGGUUAAAAAAAUUUGGGUUUUAUUGUUUUUGCUAAAUAAUACUAAAAAAAAAAUUUCAUUUUGAAGGCAGGGCUUGAAUUAUUUAAUUUGAUCCAUUUAUUUAAUUAAAAAAAAAAGGAAGGGGAAAGAGAUCAUGGCCAAAAAAAUAGUAGUUAACCCCCACCCCACCCCCAAAGCUCUAGCCAGUCAUGUGAGCAUCACCCACAUCCCACUCAGUGCCUGAUAUUCGGAUGGUGGCAUACUCUGCCCCAGGAGACUGCCUGAAGGCACGGGGCAAUGGGUGCCAAUUUUAGCUCUCAGCAGGUUAGUCAACCAGACAAACUGGUGGGCUAAAGUCCAGAAAUUCUUUCCAGGUUUUCUGCUCAUUGGCUGAGCACAUACAAACUGUCAUAAGCCUGUAAAAUUUAAGGGGAGUUGGGGUGGGGCGUAAGAGCAAAAGGACAGCAGGAGAAGAGAAAUUACGGGUCACCCAAGUUUUUCCUGGGCUAGUGGCUCUGGAUAUAGAUUUAAAGAGAGGUCAGAGUAAAUGGACUCCAGGUUUCUUAUCAAAGAAAACUAUCCCUCAAUGAGGAGCUGAGAUGUGCCAUGCAAGAGAGUUCUUCCUGCAGAGGCACAGGAGAAAGGGCAGCUGACUCUCUCAUGUGGAGAGAGUGGCGAGGAAGGUCUUCUAGUACCAUGAAGUAAGACAGGCAGAGGGAGAAUCCUGAGGUUUGGGCCAAAUGUGAGACUGGUACACACACAGUUAAAGACUAAAAAGCCAUCAGGAACCCUCAAAGCCAAAUUCUAUCUGCACACUGGCUCUACAAAGUUCGCAGCAAGAAUCUCUUGCACCAAGUCAAGUUAGUGGCCUGGCUAUGAUGGAUGGUGGAGAGGGCAAUACAUUUUUAUUUUCAGAGGGAUGAGGUGGGAAGAACAGCCAUGAUCUAGUAAAAAGAGACCUGCAAGAAGCAGAAAAUAUUUAGAGAACAUUUUAAUAUAUAUUUUCAUAUAUAUAUUUAAAGUUAAGAAAAAUAAAACUAAUUCAAGCCAUGCCCUGUGCAAAAAAAAAAAAAAAGAAAAAAGAAAAAAGAAAAAAAAAGGAAAAGAAAACAAAAAUUUAAAGUGAGACGUUUGCUGCUCUGGUCUCAACUUAAGAAUCACAGUCAGCUUGUUACUUUUAUUUUGGAAGAAAAGAUGUAAAAGUUUCUUUCAAUCAUUCAGAAGGCAAGUGUAGCCACUUAUAAAAACAGAAUGGCAGGAACAAACUAGGAAAGGAAAGUCAGAAGUAAAGGGCAGAGUGGGAAAAUAAUUUUCAAAAAUAAAAUUAACAAGGUGACUGUUCCAGAAGAGGGCUGUGAAAAGGACAUGGUGGACCGAAGUCUGUUAGUCAAGUAAUGAUUCAACUUUUAAAUUAUUCUCUUGUUCUUUUUUGUUGGGUGUUUUGUUUGUUCAAGUCUAAGAUUUGGAAAUGCUGACCCUUUGUUAAGAGCCAACAGGACAUAUAGGAUCCCUUCCCUCCCCCGGCCUGCCUCCGCUGAAGCCACCACCAGCGCCUCCUUGGCUGGAUGCUGGAAGAGUCCUCCAUGUGUACGGACUCA
rnacentral:lncRNA from 1 species